rnacentral:tRNA from 2 species
GGGCCCUUCGUCUAUCGGUUAGGACGUCAGGUUUUCAACCUGAAAAGAGGGGUUCGACUCCCCUAGGGCCUG